UUCCCCCAGUAGCGGCGAGCGAACGGGGAGCAGCCCAGAGCCUGAAUCAGUGUGUGUGUUAGUGGAAGCGUCUGGAAAGGCGCGCGAUACAGGGUGACAGCCCCGUACACAAAAAUGCACAUACUGUGAGCUCGAUGAGUAGGGCGGGACACGUGGUAUCCUGUCUGAAUAUGGGGGGACCAUCCUCCAAGGCUAAAUACUCCUGACUGACCGAUAGUGAACCAGUACCGUGAGGGAAAGGCGAAAAGAACCCCGGCGAGGGGAGUGAAAAAGAACCUGAAACCGUGUACGUACAAGCAGUGGGAGCCUCUUAAUGGGGUGACUGCGUACCUUUUGUAUAAUGGGUCAGCGACUUAUAUUCUGUAGCAAGGUUAACCGAAUAGGGGAGCCGAAGGGAAACCGAGUCUUAACUGGGCGUUAAGUUGCAGGGUAUAGACCCGAAACCCGGUGAUCUAGCCAUGGGCAGGUUGAAGGUUGGGUAACACUAACUGGAGGACCGAACCGACUAAUGUUGAAAAAUUAGCGGAUGACUUGUGGCUGGGGGUGAAAGGCCAAUCAAACCGGGAGAUAGCUGGUUCUCCCCGAAAGCUAUUUAGGUAGCGCCUCGUGAAUUCAUCUCCGGGGGUAGAGCACUGUUUCGGCAAGGGGGUCAUCCCGACUUACCAACCCGAUGCAAACUGCGAAUACCGGAGAAUGUUAUCACGGGAGACACACGGCGGGUGCUAACGUCCGU
rnacentral:rRNA from 1 species